rnacentral:rRNA from 1 species
AACGAACGCUGGCGGCAGGCCUAACACAUGCAAGUCGAACGCUGUAGCAAUACAGAGUGGCAGACGGGUGAGUAACGCGUGGGAACCUGCCCUUCGGUUCGGAAUAACUCAGGGAAACUUGAGCUAAUACCGGAUACGCCCUUAGGGGGAAAGAGUUAUUGCCGAAGGAUUGGCCCGCGUCCGAUUAGCUAGGUGGUGAGGUAAUGGCUCACCAAGGCGACGAUCGGUAGCUGGUCUGAGAGGAUGAUCAGCCACACUGGGACUGAGACACGGCCCAGACUCCUACGGGAGGCAGCAGUGGGGAAUAUUGGACAAUGGGCGCAAGCCUGAUCCAGCCAUGCCGCGUGAGUGAUGAAGGCCCUAGGGUUGUAAAGCUCUUUCGCCAGGGACGAUAAUGACGGUACCUGGAUAAGAAGCCCCGGCUAACUUCGUGCCAGCAGCCGCGGUAACAC